rnacentral:lncRNA from 1 species
GGCCCGGGAGGUGGGGCCGGUUAGGGCGAGGGUCCCCGGGAUCGUAGUGUCAGGCCUUGGGCCAACGUAGGCACUCGCAGUUCCUCCGCCUUCAGGAAGGUCUUUUUGGCAGGGGCCUUACGGGUGCGCGCUUCGGUCCUGGAGGCGUUAUCCUAGCCUCCUCUCCAUCAGCGCCACCCGUCUGGGGCCCGAUAGGAGGGAGCUUUCUGUCUGUCCCCCAGCCUUUGGACUGUCACCAAACAAGCCAUCCGUUCACCAAAUACUUAUUAAGCGCCUACCAUGUGUCUGGCAAGGGAGGUGUAACAGUGAGAAAAACUAGGUGUGGUCCAGGCCCUCCAGGGGCUCAGGGGCUCGUGGAAGAAGUGGACAUUGAAGUACUUACCACACAAAUGAGCAUGAAAGUACAAUAGCAAUAUCUGCCACGAAGGCGAGCAGACAGAGCUAGCAGGGCUUCCAGGAGGAGUUUUGAUCUUGCAGGGACAGGAAGGAGGAGUUAGCUCCUGGGGGGCGGGAUUGGGGGUGGUGGUGAUAUAGACGUGGGGACAGAGUGGAAAACAACAAAAAUAUAAUUAUUUUAGUUCAAAGUUAUUGUGUCUUGAGUUGAAAGGCAGGGCAGUUAGCGACACGGUUCAGAUUUCAGUACUGCCCCUGAAAUCUGAAUUGUGUUCAAAGUCUAAAACGUUUACCUUAGCAAAUCCCUCAUAAAACUCCAUUUGGAAGAGUCCCGAGAGCUAAUUUGUUAAGUAUACUUGCAGAAGGUAGAUGAGGAGACAGAUUAAAUCUUAUUACCUCUUUCAGAUGAGAGGCACUUGAGCCCUGCUCAGCCGUGAGAAUAAGAGGGGGAAUUAAUUCUAAUUGAAUACACUUGUUCUCUCACAGCUGUUGUUCCCCACCAGAACCAAAUGAGCGCAAGAUCUGACAAAGAAAAAAAAAGGAGACAAGGAAAACCAAUGGGAACAGUAACAAACAGAACCGCAAGAGCUCCUGUGACAAUGCUGAGCCUGAUCACUGCGCCUUGCAGAGCAGAUGCCCUCUGCACCUCCGCUCCUGUUAAGAAACCAGAGGGUUUUUAAUUGUCUGUUCCCAUCUAGCCGCUACCCAGUAAAGGCGCCAUUCCCCAUUUUACAGCUGGGGAAACUGAGUUACAGAGCUUGUCUACACUGAGUCAACAGGAGCAAAUGCUAGAUCAGGUCUAGCUGGAGUACAGUGAUGCAGUCAUAGCCCACUGCAGC